GCCACGGUGGUCUAGCGGUUAGAACGCUGGCCUUGUAAUCCUGGGGUCCGGGGUUCGAUUCCCGGCGGUGCCC
rnacentral:tRNA from 1 species